rnacentral:misc_RNA from 1 species
GUGAAUUAAACAUGCUUGGUGUCUUCGCUUCGGCAAGGCCCUUGCUUAAAUCACAUCCUAAUCACCUGUGAACUGUAAGACGUAUGAUGAGGUCUUUGGCCAAGUCAUCGUCUGCCCAUUUUUAACAAACAAUUAAUGUAACAAACGUAGUCUUAUUAUAACCUAAUA